rnacentral:rRNA from 1 species
UACGUAGGUCCCGAGCGUUGUCCGGAUUUAUUGGGCGUAAAGCGAGCGCAGGUGGUUUAAUAAGUCUGAUGUGAAAGCCCACGGCUCAACCGUGGAGGGUCAUUGGAAACUGGGGGACUUGAGUGCAGAAGAGGAAAGUGGAAUUCCAAGUGUAGCGGUGAAAUGCGUAGAUAUAUGGAGGAACACCGGUGGCGAAAGCGGCUCUCUGGACUGUAACUGACACUGAGGCGCGAAAGCGUGGGGAGCAAACAGG